UGGAGAGCCUGGCCAGGAGGCUGCGGGGCUGGGAGGGCCUGUGCUGGGCAGGGGCAGGGGCAGCGGUGAGGGGAGCCAGCCGUGCUCGGUCCCAGGCCAUGGAAGCUCUGGCAGUCGCACGCUCAGAUCUGCGUGCUUCAAAGGAGGCUCAACAGGGUCGCGGGGCCAGAGAGGGGGUCUUGGGCUGGCCCAGGGAGAGGCAGUGGGGAACGGGCCAGGCCACUGCCUACGGGUGAGGUUGUCAAAUUAGAAGAUGUUGGUUUCAUCUUGGAGUCUUGGUUUUAAAGGGUUAAGAUUUUGAUUCGUUUUUCUCUUGACACAAGUUCCUGAAAAAUAGCCUUUAAAAAAACUCCCCUUUAGCUUUAUUAAGCAAGGGGUUUGAUAGAGCAUGAUGCCCUUUUCUUUUGUCGAGGAAGGAAAAUGAUUCGCUCAAUUGUUUUGGCUGGCGUUGUCCCGCCCGCCAGCUAAUUCCUACCUCGCAGGCACUAUCCAUCUUCCCGUCUACCAGGCUCCUCCCGCCCCUGCUCCCAGGGCCCCUGCCCUAGUUUGGGCCAUCGCUGCCUCUCACCUGGACCGCGGCCAUGCGCGGCCAUGCGCGGCCUCGCGUCUCCGCCCCCACACGGCGACCUCGACUUCCUCACAUUUAUCUUCCCCUUGUGCUUUCAGAGUCCCCUGCCCAGGCUGCAGAGCUCCCUCUGCCGCAGAAGGGUGCCGAGCCCGAGCCUCGCUGCCGGAGCCUACUCUGCCAGUCCACAAGGAGCCCCACCCCGCAACCUGCCGCCUGGGCACACACCUGGGGGCAUCCUCCCCCCGGAAGCCCAGCCCCGCUCAGGCUCCAGGACACAGGCACAUUUCCAUCACAGCUCUACAGUUCCGCCAAACACAAAGACUGCUCCUCUCCUUGUUUACAGGUCCCAGAGCCCAGCUCCUGCUUUUCCUGUGACUGUAGGCCUAAGAAGACCACUGCACUGAUGUUCUGGAUGAAGGCUGCUCGGAAGGACAGAUGAACACACCAUCAGUGUCAGCGCUGAGGAAGCAGCAGCUUGAAACUGGAUUUAACGACAGGUCGGCAGAAAGGAGGAAGAAGAAAAAGCAUUCUAAAGGAAGUCCUGCUACAAAGGUGUGCAGGGCCCAUCCCCAGGGCACAGAAGGCAGAUGUUGGCUCAGGGUAUCAGGUUGGAGAGAGGCAUCUGGCAUGGAUGGAAAAGGCUCCAUGGCCAAGCUAGGAGCUCACUGCUAAGUGAUGAGAUUAUAGCUCAUCUUUUAAAACCUGGGGUGGGAUGGAAAGUCAGUUGUUUAUCGAGGUUCUUCCACUAUUGUUACAUCUUUAUGCUUCUUCACAGCACCUCAGUGCUACUGUUUAGGGCCUCACUGUCCCUGUUCAGUGUAAGAAUUCUCUCUGGAAUGAUUUGGACACAUAGUACGUGCUCAUUAAAUAUUCAGCAAAUAAAUAACUGAACUAAGAGAGAAAGACUUAUGACGCUAAACGGUUAAAGAUGGAGAAAAGAGCCAUGCAGAGCUUGGGACAGGUUUUGGCAGCAGUAGAAGGGACUAGAAGACACCAGGCCUGAAGCCAACCAAUUCCCAUUCCCCUCCGGUUCCAUUUGUUUCCUUGUUCUCCCCGACAAUUCCCCCUCUGCUCUGUAGAAGGACACUGUCCUGUCACAAGGCUAAAAUAAGUCAACCAGAUCCAUAGGGAAAGAGGACACCAUGUCGCUGGGGUUAUGGAGGAGGAACCGCAGAGAGGCAGACAGAAGGGCCUCUGGCAGGCAACUGGAUCCGGGACGAGCUCCUGCAGGGAGGACUGCGGCCUCCUGGGAUCUGCACGGAAGAGGGUGGGGCUGGCCAGGUGUGGCCAUGGGCUUCAGCAGCAGCCAGGCAGCGCCUGCUGUGCCCAGAGAGUCCUCUGGGGGGGCCACGUCACAAGGCAGGGCCACAGCCCCACAGAGGUCAGGACGGCCACAGAGCGCUGGCAGCAGCUGAGCAUUUUCGUGCCUGAGAGGCCUGCAUUCUGAAAUUCAAACUUGAGGGUCUGGAAGGACGGCGGGCGGGUGUGCGGCCGGGUGUCUGCCGCUCUCCCUCCCCGAAGUGGUGGUGAAGUGUGGAGCAAGGGAGGGAAGAAGAGCUCAGCCCCUCAGAGCAGCCGGGCAGUGCAGCCUGCCCUCCGGGCCCCUGCCAGGGGUCUGGGCAGCACUGUCCCCGUGGGCUGAGAGCUGUGCUGCGCAGGAAACUAGCUUUGCGAGCAGUGCCAGCCUGGGGAAAGCAGGUCGCUGAGUGAAGCAGAGCCAGGGGAGAGCUCCGCCUCCACCCCCUGCCGCCCACGGUUCCGGAGGGCUGAGGGGAGGACUGGGAAAAACAGUGUUUCCCACACCCAGGCGUCCGGGGACAGGGCCACAGACAGCCUGGGUCCUACUGAGCAGCUGCACAAAGGAGCAGAGUCUGCCCUAGAGAGGGGCAGUGUUCUGAGAAGGGCUCGCCUCAGCGGGCAGCAUCACAGAGCACAGGACAGAGACAAAGGACAGGUUUCCCGGUAGGAGCACCCAGGUGUGCAGCACCUGCAUGAGCUGUGCGUCUCUUACAGGAAGACAGAGCCCUCUGCAGUGAGACAGGACUGAGGC
rnacentral:lncRNA from 1 species